UACGUAGGGUGCGAGCGUUGUCCGGAAUUAUUGGGCGUAAAGGGCUCGUAGGCGGUUUGUCGCGUCGGGAGUGAAAACCCAGGGCUUAACUCUGGGCUUGCUUUCGAUACGGGCAGACUAGAGGUAUGCAGGGGAGAACGGAAUUCCUGGUGUAGCGGUGAAAUGCGGCAGAUAUCAGGAGGAACACCGGUGGCGAAAGGCGGUUCUCGUGGGCAGUUGACCUGACGCUGGAGGAGCGAAACGUGUGGGGAGCGAACAGG
rnacentral:rRNA from 1 species